rnacentral:rRNA from 1 species
GAACACGUACAGAACCUUCCUCGAGCGGGGAAUACCAGAGAAUUGAUAUACCCAUAGUAUAUUGGAGUGGCUCACUUAUAUAAGAUUAUCACUGAAGAUGGUGUGCGUGAUUAAUAGUGGUGAGUGACGCUCACCAGUCUGCGACAGUAACUGGUGUGGAGAACACGACAGUCACACGGGCACUGAGAACGGGCCCGAUCCUAACGGGGANGCAGCAGUAAGGAAUAUUGGGUCCAUGGACGAAAGUCUGGAACCCAGCCAUGCCCGCGUGGAGGAUGAAGGCCCUCUGGGUUGUAAACUUUCUUUUUAUAUGGGACGAAAAGGGGUCUUUUCUAGAUCAACUGACGGUACCAUGUGAAUAAGCACCGGCUAACUCCGUGCCAGCAGCCGCGGUAAUACGGAGGGUGCAAGCGUUAUCCGGAUUCACUGGGUUUAAAGGGUGCGUAGUGGGUUGGUAAGUCAGUGGUGAAAUCUCCGAGCUUAACUUGGAAACUGCCAUUGAUACUAUUAGUCUUGAAUAUUGUGGAGGUUAGCGGAAUAUGUCAUGUAGCGGUGAAAUGCUUAGAGAUGACAUAGAACACCAAUUGCGAAGGCAGCUGG